rnacentral:rRNA from 1 species
GACGUAGGGCGCGAGCGUUGUCCGGAUUUAUUGGGCGUAAAGGGCGCGUAGGCGGCCGCCUAAGUCAGACGUGAAAUCCCUCGGCUCAACCGGGGAACUGCGUCUGAUACUGGGUGGCUUGAAUCCGGGAGAGGGAUGCGGGAAUUCCAGGUGUAGCGGUGAAAUGCGUAGAUAUCUGGAGGAACACCGGUGGCGAAGGCGGCAUCCU